GACAGAGGGUGCAAACGUUGCUCGGAAUUACUGGGCGUAAAGCGCGUGUAGGCGGGCCAUCAAGUCGGACGUGAAAUCCCUGAGCUCAACUCAGGAACUGCAUCCGAAACUGGCGGCCUGGAGUGGUGGAGAGGGAAGCAGAAUUCCUGGUGUAGAGGUGAAAUUCGUAGAUAUCAGGAGGAACACCGGUGGCGAAGGCGGCUUCCUGGACACUUACUGACGCUGAGACGCGAAAGCGUGGGGAGCAAACAGG
rnacentral:rRNA from 1 species